AUGAACGCUGGCGGCGUGCCUAAUACAUGCCAGUCGAGCGAACAGACGAGGAGCUUGCUCCUCUGACGUUAGCGGCGGACGGGUGAGUAACACGUGGAUAACCUACCUAUAAGACUGGGAUAACUUCGGGAAACCGGAGCUAAUACCGGAUAAUAUAUUGAACCGCAUGGUUCAAUAGUGAAAGACGGUUUUGCUGUCACUUAUAGAUGGAUCCGCGCCGCAUUAGCUAGUUGGUAAGGUAACGGCUUACCAAGGCAACGAUGCGUAGCCGACCUGAGAGGGUGAUCGGCCACACUGGAACUGAGACACGGUCCAGACUCCUACGGGAGGCAGCAGUAGGGAAUCUUCCGCAAUGGGCGAAAGCCUGACGGAGCAACGCCGCGUGAGUGAUGAAGGUCUUCGGAUCGUAAAACGCUGUUAUUAGGGAAGAACAAAUGUGUAAGUAACUAUGCACGUCUUGACGGUACCUAAUCAGAAAGCCACGGCUAACUACGU
rnacentral:rRNA from 1 species